CAGGCCUAACACAUGCAAGCGAACGUGAGAGUUGAAAUGAGUACUUCGGUAUGAGUUUUGGCUUGAAAUGACGAACGGGUGAGUAACACGUAGGUUACCUGCCCCAAAGUGGGGGAUACCAUUGGAAACGAUGGCUAAUACCGCAUAAUUCUGCUUUUGCGGGAGCAAAGCAGGUAAAGCUCAGGCGCUUUGGGAGGGGCCUGCGGCCGAUUAGCAGUUGGUGGGGUAAUAGCCUACCAAGGCUGUGAUCGGUAGCUGGUCUGAAGCAUGAUCAGUCACAUGGGAACUGAGACACGGUCCCAACUCCUACGGGGGCAGCAGUGAGGAAUAUUGCACAAUGGGGGAAACCCUGAUGCAGCAACCCGCGUGGAGGAUGAAGGUUCUAGGAUUGUAAACUCCUUUUCUGAGGGAGAGCAAGGACGGUACCUCAGGAAUAAGUCACGUGCUAACUACGUGCCAGAGCCGCGGUAAU
rnacentral:rRNA from 1 species